UACGGAGGGUGCGAGCGUUGUUCGGAAUCACUGGGCGUAAAGCGCGUGUAGGCGGCCCAUUAAGUCUGAUGUGAAAGCCCGGGGCUCACCCCCCGGAAGUGCAUUGGAAACUGAUGGACUCGAGUCCCGGAGAGGAGAGUGGAAUUCCUGGUGUAGCGGUGAAAUGCGUAGAUAUGAGAGGAACACCAGUGGCGAAGGCGAGUCCCUGGACAACACCUGACACUGAGGCACGAAAGCUAGGGGAGCAAACAGG
rnacentral:rRNA from 1 species